UAAACGAUGCCAGCCAGCGAUCCGGCUGUGUUCCUCAAAUGACACGCCGGGCAGCUUCCGGGAAACCAAAGCUUUUGGGUUCCGGGGGAAGUAUGGUUGCAAAGCUGAAACUUAAAGGAAUUGACGGAGGGUCACCACCAGGCAUGGAGCUUGCGGUUCAAUUUGACUCAACGCAGCGAACUCUACCAGGCCAGGACACAGGAAGGAUUGACAGAUUGAGAGCUCUUUCUUGAUUCUGUGGGUAGUGGUGCAUGUCCGUUCUUGGUUCGUGGAGUGAUUUGUCUGGUUUAUUCUGAUAACGGACGAGGCUCUAGCCUACUAAAUAGACGCUCCGAUUCUCCUAGUCGGGCGUUUCUUCUUAGAGGGACUGGCGGCGUUUAGCCGCACGAGGCAAAGCAAUAACAGGUCUGUAAUGCCCUUAGAUGUCCUGGGCCACACGCGUGCUACAAUGAAGGAAUCAUCGUGUGCUUUCCCUGUCUGAGAGGACUGGGUAACCCGUUGAACUUCUUUCGUGCUGGGGAUAGAGAUUUGCAAUUAUCUCUCUUGAACGAGGAAUUCCUAGUAAGCGCGAGUCAUCAUCUCGCGUUGAUUAGGUCCCUGGCCCUUGUCCACACCGCCCGUCGCUAUUACCGAUUGAAUGAUUUAGUGAGGUCUUCGGACUGGCGCUCGGAUUGGCCUUCGGGUCGAGCCGACGUGCCGGAAAGAUGACCGAACUUGAUCAUUUAGAGGAAAUAAAAGUCGUAACAAGG
rnacentral:rRNA from 1 species